rnacentral:rRNA from 1 species
UACGAAAGGGGCUAGCGUUGUUCGGAAUUACUGGGCGUAAAGCGCACGUAGGCGGCACUGUGAGUUGGGGGUGAAAUCCCGGUGCUCAACUCCGGAACUGCCUUCAAGACUGCAGAGCUGGAGGAUGCGAGAGGUGAGUGGAAGUCCGAGUGUAGAGGUGAAAUUCGUAGAUAUUCGGAAGAACACGAGUGGCGAAGGCGGCUCACUGGAGCAUUUCUGACGCUGAGGUGCGAAAGCGUGGGGAGCAAACAGG